rnacentral:rRNA from 1 species
GGCGUGCCUAAUACAUGCAAGUCGAGCGAACAGACGAGGAGCUUGCUCCUUUGACGUUAGCGGCGGACGGGUGAGUAACACGUGGAUAACCUACCUAUAAGACUGGGAUAACUUCGGGAAACCGGAGCUAAUACCGGAUAACAUGUUGAACCGCAUGGUUCAACAGUGAAAGACGGUCUUGCUGUCACUUAUAGAUGGAUCCGCGCCGCAUUAGCUAGUUGGUAAGGUAACGGCUUACCAAGGCAACGAUGCGUAGCCGACCUGAGAGGGUGAUCGGCCACACUGGAACUGAGACACGGUCCAGACUCCUACGGGAGGCAGCAGUAGGGAAUCUUCCGCAAUGGGCGAAAGCCUGACGGAGCAACGCCGCGUGAGUGAAGAAGGUCUUCGGAUCGUAAAACUCUGUUAUUAGGGAAGAACAAAUGUGUAAGUAACUAUGCACGUCUUGACGGUACCUAAUCAGAAAGCCACGGCUAACUACGUGCCAGCAGCCGCGGUAAUACGUAGGUGGCAAGCGUUAUCCGGAAUUAUUGGGCGUAAAGCGCGCGUAGGCGGUUUUUUAAGUCUGAUGUGAAAGCCCACGGCUCAACCGUGGAGGGUCAUUGGAAACUGGAAAACUUGAGUGCAGAAGAGGAAAGUGGAAUUCCAUGUGUAGCGGUGAAAUGCGCAGAGAUAUGGAGGAACACCAGUGGCGAAGGCGACUUUCUGGUCUGUAACUGACGCUGAUGUGCGAAAGCGUGGGGAUCAAACAGGAUUAGAUACCCUGGUAGUCCACGCCGUAAACGAUGAGUGCUAAGUGUUAGGGGGUUUCCGCCCCUUAGUGCUGCAGCUAACGCAUUAAGCACUCCGCCUGGGGAGUACGACCGCAAGGUUGAAACUCAAAGGAAUUGACGGGGACCCGUACAAGCGGUGGAGCAUGUGGUUUAAUUCGAAGCAACGCGAAGAACCUUACCAAAUCUUGACAUCCUCUGACCCCUCUAGAGAUAGAGUUUUCCCCUUCGGGGGACAGAGUGACAGGUGGUGCAUGGUUGUCGUCAGCUCGUGUCGUGAGAUGUUGGGUUAAGUCCCGCAACGAGCGCAACCCUUAAGCUUAGUUGCCAUCAUUAAGUUGGGCACUCUAAGUUGACUGCCGGUGACAAACCGGAGGAAGGUGGGGAUGACGUCAAAUCAUCAUGCCCCUUAUGAUUUGGGCUACACACGUGCUACAAUGGACAAUACAAAGGGUAGCGAAACCGCGAGGUCAAGCAAAUCCCAUAAAGUUGUUCUCAGUUCGGAUUGUAGUCUGCAACUCGACUACAUGAAGCUGGAAUCGCUAGUAAUCGUGGAUCAGCAUGCUACGGUGAAUACGUUCCCGGGUCUUGUACACACCGCCCGUCACACCACGAGAGUUUGUAACACCCGAAGCCGGUGGAGUAACCUUUUGGAGCUAGCCGUCGAAGGUGGGACAAAUGAUUGGGGUGAAGUCAUAA